rnacentral:lncRNA from 1 species
CUUGGUGGUUGCAUUUGAUGGAGGCCAUCCAGAUUCUGGAAUUGUUGUUACUGGGAGCGGCCUUGACUUGAAUCAACAGGAAGAAGAACUUGGACAAAGGAAGAUUGAGCUUGAAGCAGAGGAAAGAAAGCUUGAAGAAACUUUGGAGUAUCAGUGACGAAUUGAAAAUGAGGCCAAACAGAAGCACCUUGCUGAGCAACAUAAAAAAACUGCAAUAGCAAUUUUAGAGAAGAAGGAAGCAGUUGGACUGCCAGAUGAUUGCUUCCUGCACAUCGAUAAUGAUCAAAAUGUGUUUGAACAACUGAAACAUAGUAGGCAGGUGAGCGUUCGUUGUACUAAUUUCUCUUUGUUAUUAACAGAAUAAAUAUAUUGGUCCGUCUGUUUCUCAAGAACAUGAACAUAUAGGACUUUAGCUCAUUACUGUGGUUAGAUUAUGCAAACAAUGAUGAAAGAAAUUUCAUUCAAGUCUGAGUUAACUCACAAACCUGCACUCUAGGAACCGUCAAGUCAGAGCAAUGGAUUCAUGAACGUUUUAGAACUUGUGCCUGGAGACCCUGGAGAUGAAGCAUCCCAGAGGAUGGAUAAAUACCCACACCAAUCACCAUGAUGGAGAAAUUAAACAACAUAAGUUACUCCCUCCGUUCCCAAAAGGAUGAACAAAGACAAUUUGGACACAUUAAGAAAAGUAAAAGUAGAGAAAAGAGAGUAAAAAAGUUUUAAAUUUAUUCUUAGUAAAGAAAAUAAAAGGAAAAAUUAAGGUAUUUUAUUUAGUCAGUUGAAGGACUCUGGAAUCUUUCUAUAUGCUUAACCAUUUAAUAGAUAUUGUGGGUAGUUUGUCGGUUUAAUAAUAUUAGUACCACGUAACAACUCUAUUGUCUUUGUGUAUUGAUUUUGGCAUUAAGUGUCUUUGGUGACCUAUUUGUUUCAUUUUUCUGAUUUGCUAUUAUUUUUAAAUAUGUGUAGGAAGACUGUUUCUACGACAUGCCUUACAAUAUUGGGUAUCAAAUUUCUAUGUUACGUUUACAGAAGAUAAGGGACGAAAUUAUGAAGUGUACUCUCUCUAUAUAUGUAGAUAUAUACUUUGAUUGAAGAACUGAGGUAGCUUUAGAUGGUUAAUUGUAAAGAUAAUGAAUGAUUGUGUAGUGAAUGAUUUUAUUAAUUUAAUAAUAUUUUAAUUUUUUGUA